rnacentral:rRNA from 1 species
UCAAGCGCGAAAAGGGCGUUUGGUGGAUGCCUAGGCAGCAAGAGGCGAUGAAGGACGUGAUACCCUGCGUUAAGCCAUGGGGAGCCGGGAAUAGGCUUUGAUCCAUGGAUCUCCGAAUGGGGAAACCCACCUGAUUGUUCAUUGUUGUCCUACCGCUUCGCUACUUGAGGACAUUGUCCGCGAGUGGGGAAGCGCAGGAUCAUCAAUGGGCAAAACCAGGUAUCAUUACCCUGAAUACAUAGGGGUUUUGAAGCGAACCCGGGGAACUGAAACAUCUAAGUACCCGGAGGAAAGGAAAUCAACAGAGACUCCGCUAGUAGUGGCGAGCGAACGCGGACCAGCCGAUCUCCGAAGAGUGACUGGAAUGGCCUGGAAAGGCCAGCGAUACAGGGUGACAGCCCCGUACAGGAAGCUCCAGGAGACAUAUCAAGUAGGGCGGGACACGUGAAAUCCUGUCUGAAGAUCGGGGGACCACCCCCGAAGGCUAAGUACUCCUUGCUGACCGAUAGCGAACCAGUACCGUGAGGGAAAGGUGAAAAGCACCCCGACGAGGGGAGUGAAACAGUACCUGAAACCGGACGCCUACAAGCAGUCGGAGGGUCCAUGAGACCUGACGGCGUACCUUUUGUAUAAUGGGUCAACGACUUGGUCUCACGAGCAAGCUUAAGCCGAUAGGUGGAGGCGCAGCGAAAGCGAGUCUUAAAAGGGCGUCGAGUUCGUGGGAUCAGACCCGAAACCAGGUGAUCUAGCCAUGAGCAGGAUGAAGUCAGGGUAACACCUGAUGGAGGUCCGAACCAACACCCGUUGAAAAGGGUCUGGAUGACUUGUGGCUAGGGGUGAAAGGCCAAUCAAACCUGGAGAUAGCUGGUUCUCCGCGAAAGCUAUUUAGGUAGCGCCUCGGACGAAUACCUCGGGGGGUAGAGCACUGCAUGGAUGAUGGGGGCCCACAGCCUUACUGAGUCUAAGCAAACUCCGAAUACCCGAGAGUACUAUCCGGGAGACACACGGCGGGUGCUAACGUCCGUCGUGAAGAGGGAAACAACCCUGACCUGCAGCUAAGGCCCCCAAUUCGUGGCUAAGUGGGAAAGCAUGUGGGACGGCCAAAACAACCAGGAGGUUGGCUUAGAAGCAGCCAUCCUUUAAAGAUAGCGUAACAGCUCACUGGUCUAGACAAGCUGUCCUGCGGCGAAGAUGUAACGGGGCUCAAGCCACGAGCCGAAGCUCAGGAUGCACAGCAAUGUGCGUGGUAGCGGAGCGUUCCGUGAUAUAGCUUCAUGUCUCUUAUCCCUCCGGGGAGACAGAGACGCGAAGCUUUCUGUGAAGCCGGGCCGUAAGGCAUCCGGUGGAGAGAUCGGAAGCGAGAAUGUUGACAUGAGUAGCGACAAACAGGGUGAGAGACCCUGUCGCCGAAAGUCCAAGGGUUCCUGCUUAAAGCUAAUCUGAGCAGGGUGAGCCGGCCCCUAAGGCGAGGCCGAAAGGCGUAGUCGAUGGGAACCAGGUUAAUAUUCCUGGGCCAGGAGGAUGUGACGGAUCGCAGGUGUAGUUCGGCCUUAUCGGAUUGGCCGGGCUGCUGAGCGGUCCCUGGAAAUAGCCCUCCAUCAGACCGUACCCUAAACCGACACAGGUGGACUGGUAGAGUAUACCAAGGCGCUUGAGAGAACCACAUCAAAGGAACUCGGCAAAAUGCCUCCGUAAGUUCGCGAGAAGGAGGCCCCGUCUGUGCGCAAGCAUGGGCGGGGGGCACAAACCAGGGGGUGGCGACUGUUUACUUAAAACACAGGGCUCUGCGAAGCCGUAAGGCGACGUAUAGGGUCUGACGCCUGCCCGGUGCUGGAAGGUUAAAAGGAGAGGUGCAAGCCUUGAAUUGAAGCCCCAGUAAACGGCGGCCGUAACUAUAACGGUCCUAAGGUAGCGAAAUUCCUUGUCGGGUAAGUUCCGACCUGCACGAAUGGCGUAACGAUCUCCCCGCUGUCUCUGAUGUGGACUCAGCGAAAUUGAACUGUGUGUCAAGAUGCACACUUCCCGCGGUUAGACGGAAAGACCCCAUGAACCUUUACUAUAGCUUCGCACUGGCAUCAGGAAUGUGAUGUGCAGGAUAGGUGGUAGGCAUCGAAGCGGGGACGCCAGUUCCCGUGGAGCCAACCUUGAGAUACCACCCUUCGCAUUCUUGAUGUCUAACCGCGGUCCGUCAUCCGGAUCCGGGACCCUGCGUGGUGGGUAGUUUGACUGGGGCGGUCGCCUCCCAAACAGUAACGGAGGCGCGCGAUGGUGGGCUCAGACCGGUCGGAAAUCGGUCGUCGAGUGCAAUGGCAGAAGCCCGCCUGACUGCAAGACUGACAAGUCGAGCAGAGACGAAAGUCGGCCAUAGUGAUCCGGUGGUCCCGAGUGGAAGGGCCAUCGCUCAACGGAUAAAAGGUACUCUGGGGAUAACAGGCUGAUGAUGCCCAAGAGUCCAUAUCGACGGCAUCGUUUGGCACCUCGAUGUCGGCUCAUCUCAUCCUGGGGCUGGAGCAGGUCCCAAGGGUAUGGCUGUUCGCCAUUUAAAGAGGUACGUGAGCUGGGUUUAGAACGUCGUGAGACAGUUCGGUCCCUAUCUGCCGUGGGUGUAGGAGACUUGAGAAGAGUUGCCCCUAGUACGAGAGGACCGGGGUGAACGAACCACUGGUGGACCAGUUGUCGUGCCAACGGCAGUGCUGGGUAGCUAUGUUCGGACAGGAUAACCGCUGAAGGCAUCUAAGCGGGAAGCCCCCUUCAAAACAAGGUCUCCCUUGAGGGCCGUGGAAGACCACCACGUCGAUAGGCCAGAGGUGUAAGUGCGGCAACGCAUUCAGCUGACUGGUACUAAUUGCCCGAUUGGCUUGAUCUG